CCACUAGCACAGGGGAUUAAACAUCUCAUCCUGUGUGGAACUGGAAAUCAUCUGUGGAAAAGCUACUACCCCAUACAGGUAUC
rnacentral:lncRNA from 1 species